rnacentral:rRNA from 1 species
UACAGAGGUGCCAAGCGUUAGGCGGAAUCACUGGGCUUAAAGCGCGCGUAGGCGGAUGUUUAAGUGUCUCGUGAAAUCCCACGGCUCAACCGUGGAACUGCUGGGCAUACUGGACAUCUCGAGGCACUCAGGGGCGAGCGGAACAAGUGGUGGAGCGGUGAAAUGCGUAGAUAUCACUUGGAACGCCAAUGGUGAAGACAGCUCGCUGGGGGUGUCCUGACGCUGAGGCGCGAAAGCCAGGGGAGCGAACGGG